GAUGAACGCUGGCGGCGUGCCUAAUACAUGCAAGUCGAGCGAACGGACGAGAAGCUUGCUUCUCUGAUGUUAGCGGCGGACGGGUGAGUAGCACGUGGAUAACCUACCUAUAAGACUGGGAUAACUUCGGGAAACCGGAGCUAAUACCGGAUAAUAUUUUGAACCGCAUGGUUCAAAGGUGAAAGACGGUCUUGCUGUCACUUAUAGAUGGAUCCGCGCUGCAUUAGCUAGUUGGUAAGGUAACGGCUUACCAAGGCAACGAUGCAUAGCCGACCUGAGAGGGUGAUCGGCCACACUGGAACUGAGACACGGUCCAGACUCCUACGGGAGGCAGCAGUAGGGAAUCUUCCGCAAUGGGCGAAAGCCUGACGGAGCAACGCCGCGUGAGUGAUGAAGGUCUUCGGAUCGUAAAACUCUGUUAUUAGGGAAGAACAUAUGUGUAAGUAACUGUGCACAUCUUGACGGUACCUAAUCAGAAAGCCACGGCUAACUACGUG
rnacentral:rRNA from 1 species